rnacentral:rRNA from 1 species
UACGAAGGGUGCAAACGUUGCUCGGAAUUAUUGGGCGUAAAGCGCACGUAGGCGGUAUUGCAAGUCGGAUGUGAAAUCCCUCGGCUUAACCAAGGAAGUGCAUCCGAAACUGCCGUACUUGAGUACGAAAGAGGAUCGCGGAAUUCCCGGUGUAGAGGUGAAAUUCGUAGAUAUCGGGAGGAACACCAGUGGCGAAGGCGGCGAUCUGGGUCGAUACUGACGCUGAGGUGCGAAAGCGUGGGGAGCAAACAGG